rnacentral:rRNA from 1 species
AACGCGAAGAACCUUACCUGCGCUUGACAUGGGAUUGCACCAGGGGUAAUGCCCUGUCCCCUUCGGGGGGCGGUUCCACAGGUGCUGCAUGGCUGUCGUCAGCUCGUGCCGUGAGGUGUUGGGUUAAGUCCCCUAACGAGCGCAACCCCUGGGGUCCGUUACCUUGGUGUCGGGCCCGACUGCCGCGCGCAACGCGGAGGAAGGUGGGGAUGACGUCAAGUCAGCACGGCCCUGACGCGCAGGGCGACACACACGCUACAAUGGCCGGUACAACGGGUUGCCAAGCCGCGAGGCGGAGCCAAUCCCAGCAAAGCCGGUCUCAGUUCGGAUUGCAGGCUGCAACUCGCCUGCAUGAAGUCGGAGUUGCUAGUAACCGUGGGUCAGCACACCGCGGUGAAUACGUUCCCGGGCCUUGUACACACCGAUACUC